rnacentral:rRNA from 1 species
GACGAACGCUGGCGGCGUGCUUAACACAUGCAAGUCGAACGGAAAGGCCCCUUUGGGGGUACUCGAGUGGCGAACGGGUGAGUAACACGUGGGUAACCUUCCCUUUACUUCGGGAUAACUUCAGGAAACUGGGGCUAAUACCGGAUAGGAAUCCUUGCUGCAUGGUGGGGGUUGGAAAGCUUCUGCGGUGUUGGAUGGACUCGCGGCCUAUCAGCUUGUUGGUGGGGUAGUGGCUUACCAAGGCUUUGACGGGUCGCCGGCCUGAGGGGGCGACCGGCCACAUUGGGACUGAGGUACGGCCCAGACUCCUACGGGAGGCAGCAGGGGGGAAGAUUGCACCAUGGGCGGAAGCCUGAUGCAGCAAGGCCGCGGGCGGGAUGACGGCCUUCGGGUUGUAAACCGCUUUCAGCAGGGGAGAAGCUUGUGGUGACGGUACCUGCAGAAGAAGCACCGGCUAACUACGUG